rnacentral:rRNA from 1 species
GAGUUUGAUCCUGGCUCAGGAUGAACGCUAGCGGCAGGCCUAACACAUGCAAGUCGAGGGGUAGGACACUUCGGUGUUUGAGACCGGCGCACGGGUGCGUAACGCGUAUGCAAUCUGCCUUGUACUAAGGGAUAGCCCAGAGAAAUUUGGAUUAAUACCUUAUAGUAUAUAGAUGUGGCAUCACAUUUAUAUUAAAGAUUUAUCGGUACAAGAUGAGCAUGCGUCCCAUUAGCUAGUUGGUAUGGUAACGGCAUACCAAGGCAAUGAUGGGUAGGGGUCCUGAGAGGGAGAUCCCCCACACUGGUACUGAGACACGGACCAGACUCCUACGGGAGGCAGCAGUGAGGAAUAUUGGUCAAUGGGCGCAAGCCUGAACCAGCCAUGCCGCGUGCAGGAUGAAGCAUCUAUGGUGUGUAAACUGCUUUUGUACGGGAAGAAACAGCUCUUCGUGAAGAGCCUUGACGGUACCGUAAGAAUAAGGAUCGGCUAACUCCGUGCC